rnacentral:rRNA from 1 species
GAGUUUGAUCCUGGCUCAGGACGAACGCUGGCGGCACGCCUAACACAUGCAAGUCGAACGGAGAUAUUUUGGUUUACUGAGAUAUCUUAGUGGCGGACGGGUGAGUAACACGUGAGCAACCUGCCUCUGAGAGAGGGAUAGCUUCUGGAAACGGAUGGUAAUACCUCAUAACAUAACGAAGCCGCAUGACUUUGUUAUCAAAGAUUUAUCACUCAGAGAUGGGCUCGCGUCUGAUUAGAUAGUUGGUGAGGUAACGGCUCACCAAGUCGACGAUCAGUAGCCGGACUGAGAGGUUGAACGGCCACAUUGGGACUGAGACACGGCCCAGACUCCUACGGGAGGCAGCAGUGGGGAAUAUUGCACAAUGGGGGAAACCCUGAUGCAGCGAUGCCGCGUGGAGGAAGAAGGUUUUCGGAUUGUAAACUCCUGUCUUAAAGGACGAUAAUGACGGUACUUUAGGAGGAAGCUCCGGCUAACUACGUGCCAGCAGCCGCGGUAAUACGUAGGGAGCGAGCGUUGUCCGGAAUUACUGGGUGUAAAGGGAGCGUAGGCGGGAUGGCAAGUCAGAUGUGAAAACUAUGGGCUCAACCCAUAGACUGCAUUUGAAACUGUUGCUCUUGAGUGAAGUAGAGGUAAGCGGAAUUCCUGGUGUAGCGGUGAAAUGCGUAGAUAUCAGGAGGAACAUCGGUGGCGAAGGCGGCUUACUGGGCUUUUACUGACGCUGAGGCUCGAAAGCGUGGGGAGCAAACAGAUUAGAUACCCAGGUAGUCCACGCUGUAACGAUGAUUWMUAGUGUGGGGGGACUGACCCCUUCCGUGCCSSAGUUGMMCAAUAAGUAAUCCACCUGGGGGAGUACGGCCGCAAGUUGAAMCUYAAGGAAUUGACGGGGCCCGCACAASCACKGAKUAUGUGGUUUAAUUCAAYCA